CGGCUUCCUACGGGAGGCAGCAGUGGGGAAUAUUGCGCAAUGGGGGAAACCCUGACGCAGCGACGCCGCGUGGAUGAUGAAGGCCUUCGGGUUGUAAAGUCCUGUUCUGGGGGACGAAACCUUAAGGGUCCAAUAGGCCCUUAAGGUGAUGGUACCCCAAGAGAAAGCUCCGGCUAAUUAUGUGCCAGCAGCCGCGGUAAUACAUAAGGAGCAAGCGUUGUCCGGAAUUACUGGGCGUAAAGAGUGCGUAGGUGGCUAUACAAGUCAAGGGUGAAAUCUCUACUUUCAAGGUAGAAACUGCCUUUGAUACUGUAUGGCUAGAGGACAAGAGGGGGAAAUGGAACUCUGGGAGUAGCGGUGAAAUGCGUAGAUAUCCAGAGGAACGCCGGUAGCGAAGGCGAUUUCCUGGCUUGCAUCUGACGCUGAGGCACUAAAGCUAGGGUAGCGAUCGGGAUUAGAUACCCGAGUAGUCCAAGCCG
rnacentral:rRNA from 1 species